UUUGGCAGGGAAGGCUCCUCGCGGUCACGCCCGCAGCGGGCAGCGGAUCGGGGGCAUGGACUCCCGGGCUGUUUCUUGUCGGUGCUGGGGCGCAAGGCCAUGCAAGCCGAGAGCAGCAGGGCUCUCGGGAGCGCCGCGUGAGCAUAACGGGCGGGAGUUGUGUACUUUGGAGUUCUGGCUCCUUAACCGGCCCUUCGGAAGCCGGCGUUUCCAUGGUGAGGAUAAACAAGCCUCUACUGCCUCCGCUACAACUGCCAGGUGCCCCCAAGUUCCACCCUCUUCUAGGUGUUCGGAGGGACCGUGCCGGAUAUGAAGAGCGGGAGCGUGGAGACGGAGCCCUAGGAUUAUUUCAAGACCAAGCAUAAAGCUAAAGUAUUUUUUGCUAUUUUAUAGUAUUCCAUUUGAUAAACAAGCAUAUUCUAGGAAAAAGAUGGCUAAGAAGGCAAGGCAGAAACGUCCUCCCAAAACACAAAACUACAGCAAAUACAACUAAACCUGAAAAUGACCUGAAGACUGCAGAACUGACUACCUACAUCUAGGGAAGAAGAGAAAACCUCAUAGAAAAGGGUUAAGUGGCAAAGCCGAGAUCUGGUGGGACUGAAACACUCUCUCCAUUGCAGCUCACAGGCAGGAGGAAGAGGAAUGGAGCAGGGAGGGAGUAGGAGCCCAGGAUCACUGAAUACCUGGCCCUGGAGAUCUGCUCCAGCAGCAUGAACCCAGAAUACAUGGUGGUGAUUAGCAGGGCUGGACAACAAAGACAGGUAGAACACUCAGGGAGGCUGAGAUUCCAGCCACUUGUGGAGAGCAGGCAUGCUAUUCCUGUCCCCCUGAGACAAAAGCAAAGUGGGCAGUUUGCAAGACCUCUCAGCAGUGGGAGGGGCACCAGAGGAGCAAGGGUUAUAGGGAGCUCUCUGCUCAGGAGAAAGGGCAGAUGGACAAUACCUCCCCAGCCUGUCCUCAACCCAACAAAUUGGGAACUCUCGGGAGCUCCACAUUCUCCAUUCCCCAUCCUCCCAACUCCACCUGGCUACACAGCCCCAAGGCUCCUUCCUGCGGUGCAUGGCCUGUGGACAGCCUACUUGGCCCAGUAGUGGUGUCAGACUUUGCUGCAGGGUAGGCAGAGGGAGACUCUCCCAGCUUUCUCAACCCUAAUUAGGCCCAGCCAGGGAACUGCCUGCAGCAGCCAGCCCUGGAAACUCUUCCUCUCUGGGGGCGCCUGAUCCCUUGCCACUGCUUGUAACCCAGGUAGAGAGCAGCCCUUCCCACAGCAGCUCCAUCAGAGAAGGCAUGGCAAAGCAAACAGUGUGCCUGAAAUCAGAUCACUACAAGCCAGGCAGAAAGGCACCCCACCUACUGCACACUAACAGCUGGGGUUACUGUACUGGAAAGUACAGUGUUUUGAGCUUCUGGACACUAGAGGGUGCCUCCUUCAUAAAGCUAUUACUCCAUAGGAAACUGAAAAAAUGAAGAGGCAGAGAAAUAUCUUCCAAACAAAACUACAAGACAAAACACCAGAAAGAGGACUGAAUGAAACUGACAUCAGCAAUCUCUAUGAUAAAGCCUUCAAAGUGAAAAUCAUAAACAUAUUCAUGGAUCUACAGAAAAAUACUCAAUUUCAGGGAGGACCUCAACAAAAAGAUAGAAGACCAGCAGAAGAGCCACUCAGAGCUGAAGAAUACAGAAUCUGAAAUGAAACAUACAGUGGAGGGAUUUAAUAGACUUUCACAGGUUGAAGAAGUUGUAAAUGAUUUGGAAAUUGGAGCAAGAAAACAGUGAAGCUGGAACUGGAAAACAGAGAAAAAAGGAUCUCUAGGAAUGAAAGAAUAAUAAGAGAGCUGUGUGACCAAUCUAAACAGAACAAUAUUUGCAAGGGCACCAGAAGGAGAAGAGGGAAACAAAGGGAUAGAAAGUGUCUGAGGAAAUAAUUGUUGAAAACUUCCUCAAUCUGGGGAAGGAAAUAGACACUCAGAUUAUGGAAGUGCAGAGAGCCCCUUACAAAAGGAACACCAAGACAGAAUAAUUAAAAUGGUAAAGAUCAAGGACAAGGAGCGAGUACUGGAAGUAGCCAUAAAGAGAAAAAAGAUUACUUAUACAGGAAACCUCAUCAGGCUAUCAUCAGGCUUCUCAAUAAACCAGCAACAACUUAUUUCUCUACUGUUCUAUUGAGGCAUUAGGUUGUUUACAGUUUGGGAUAUUAUAAACAGUGCUUUGAACCAGCGCAUAUGUUCUGGGGUAUGUAUGCCAGACUUAAUACCUGCAAUGAAAUUCCUUGGUCAUAGGGUUUGCCCACAUUCAACUUAAUAUCAUAAGGAUAUUGUCUAAAACAGUUACACUAGUUUACUUCCCUAACCCCAGUGGGAUUGCUAAAUUAUAUAGUGAGUAAAUAUUUAUAAAAAAAAUUACCAAAUUUUCCAGAGUGUCUACCAUUUUUCAUUCCCAUUGAUAAUGUAUGAGAAUUCCAGUUACACAUCUUCACUGGGACUUGAUACUGUUAAUUUUAAAAAAUUUAAAUUUUUAGCCUUUCUAUAGGGGUAUGUAGCCAUAUUUUUUCAUGACUUCAGUUUGCAUUACUCUAAUGGCUAAUAAUGUUGAUUAUCUCUUCGCGAGCUUGUUUGUCAUCCCUGCAUCCCUUUUGUAAAUUAUCUGGUCAAAGGUCUUCUCCAUUUUUAUAAAUUGGGUUUUGUUUUUGUUUUCCUUCCUGUUGAGUUUUGACAGUUCUUUGUACAUUCUAAAUAGAGGUCCAGAUGGGUUUUUUGCAAAAUUUGUUCCAGUUUGUAGUUUAUUUUAUUAAACAGUGUUGGAGAGCAAAAGAGUUAAAUUAUGAUGAAGUCAGGUUUGUCACCUUUUUUCCUUUAGGUGUUAUAUCUAAGAACUCUGUGUAACACUAGGUCUUGAAGAUUUUUCACAUAAAAUUUCUUUUAAACAUUUUACCCUUUUACAUAUAAAUGUAAACUUCAUUUUGAGUUUUUUUGUUUUUGUUUUUUAAUGAGGUGAAGUUUAGAUUAAGGGUCUCUUUUUUUUUUCUCCAGAUGGGUAACAGUUAUCCCAGUACCAUUUGUUAGAAAGACUACUUUCUCCAUUGAAUUGCCUUUGCUCCAUUGUAAGAAAUCAAAUGGCCAUAUUUGUGUGGACUAGAUCUGGACUCUUUACUUUGUUCCAUUAAUUUAUAUGUGUAAGCUUUUAGCAAUACUGCACUGCCUUCAUUGUAACUUUAUGCUAAUUUCUGAGUUCAGCUUUAUUCACCUUUUUCAAAAUUGUAUUCUACUUCCUUUGCCUUUCUGUAUACAUUUUAGAGUAAUUUUGCCUAUAACUAUAAAAAUAUUGCUGCGAUUUUGAUACGAAAUGUGUUAAACCUGUCUUUUUGGGGGAGUGUUAACAUCUGUUUUUACUAUGUUGUGUCUUCCAGUCUGUGAAUACAGUAUGUCUGUUCAUUUACUUCAAUCUUGGAUUUCUUCCAUAACUUUUAUAUUUUUAUCAUACAAGUCCCAAGUAUAUUUUGUUAGAUUUGUUAUAUAUCUUAGUAAUGAUAGUUUUUUUGAAUUCAUAAGUGAUAAUGUAUUUUUAAUUUAGAUUUCUACAUCUUUUGUUGCUAGUAUAUAAAAAUACAAUUGAUUUUUGUAUGUUAAUUUUGUAGUCUACAACUGUGCUUAACUUACUAGUUCUAGGAAUAUUACAUUUCCUAGGGUUUUUCUAUGUAGCACAUCAUGCUGUCUGUGAAUAGGAGUAGUUGUACUUCUUCUCUUCUAAUCUCUGUGCCUGUUAUAUUUCCUUUUCUUAUUUUUCUGAGUGGGAAUUACAGUAUGAUGUUGAAUUAGAGCAGUGAAAUAAACAUCCUAGCCUUGUUCCCAAUCUUGGGGAGAGGCAUGCAGUUUUUCACCAUAAAGUGUGUCAGCUGCAAUUUUUGUAAAUGUUCUUUAUUAAAUUGAGGUGGUUCCGCUCUAUUUCUAACUUGCUGAGAGUUGUUAUCGGGAAUGGGAUUUUGCAUUUAAAUGCUUUUUCUGUGUCAGUUCGUAUGAUCAUAUGCUAUUUCCUCUUUAGUCUGUUGAUAAGCCACAUUACAUUUAUUUUCAAAUAUUGAACCAAACUUGCACAUUCCAAACUCUGCUUGGUCUUGGUAUAUACUUAUUUUUCUAUAGCACUGAAUUCUAUUUGCUAAUGUUUUUGUAAAGGAGCUACCAUCUAUAUUUAUGAGGGAUAUUGGUCUAGUUUUCUUUUUUUUCAUGUCUGGGUUUGGUAUCAGGGUAUAUAAUACUGACCUCAUUAAAUGAGUUGGGGAAAUGUU